rnacentral:rRNA from 1 species
GACGAACGCUGGCGGCGUGCUUAACACAUGCCAGUCGAACGGAAAGGCCUGCUUUCCCUUGUGGAUUGCGGGUACUCGAGUGGCGAACGGGUGAGUAACACGUGAGUGAUCUGCCCCCAACUUGGGUAUAAGCCUGGGAAACUGGGUCUAAUUCCCGAUAGGACUGCAGGGUGGUGCCUGUGGUGGAAAACGAUUUUCUAGUGGUUGGGGAUGAGCUCGCGGCCUAUCAGCUUGUUGGUGGGGUAAUGGCCUACCAAGGCGGCGACGGGUAGCCGACCUGAGAGGGCGGACGGCGACUUUGAGGCUGAGCAACGGCCCUGACACCUACAGAAGGCAGCAGUGGGGAAUAGUGGACAAUGGGGGGAAGCCUGAUGCAUCGACGCAGCGUGGGGGAUGACGGCCUUCGGGUUGUAAACACCUUUCGGGCGCGAGGAAGCCACCUGGUUGGAAGGGUAGUGACGGUAGUGGUAGAAGAAGCACCGGCUAACUACGUG